rnacentral:lncRNA from 1 species
CUGAGAUCUAUCCCACUUCUGUUAAGUCAAUGAAACAAAUCUGAUUAACCAUAGGGGAAGCUAGACUAGCCUGGAAAUGAACAAAUGGAGCUUUUAAAAUGUUUGAUACUGUUAUGAAGGAGGACUGUAAUUUUUUUUAUUAAAGGAAAUAUUUAAAGAAAAUGGUUGAAAAAACAGUGGGGGAUGCUCCAUUAUGUUCUGCUCAUAUCUAUAGGAUUUGUUUCUAUAAAUCUUCAUAGAUCGACAUGAUAAAUUAAAAAGCUCAUUUGAGUAUUCCAAAGGAUACACAUGGGUAAAAGCUACCAGAAAAAAAAAUCAGGUUAUAUAUGUAUCUCUUUUAGAAAGAAGACAAUAAUUACAUGUAGGAUGAUCAGUAGGAGAUAGAGGCCUAAAAUCAUGUUUCGUGUAAUUCGUAUCUUUAUGAUGUCUGGUUUAAGUCCAAGUGGAAAGCAGUACUUGAUCAGUUCUGCCCUGAUUUAAGCAACUGUAUUAGCUCUGGGGUCAAUAACAUUGCACCGAGUCUGAACACACCUUCAUAUCUGUAAAAUAUAGCUAAUCUUGAUGAUAUCUAAUAAAUUAACAAUGUCAUGUGCAAUGCUAACUCAGAAUUUGCUACGAGAAUGGGGAAGAUUUUUUGGCACAAUACAUUUCUUUUUUUUUUUUCUUUAAAGUAGCCCUGUUACCUGGGGGAAAUUGUAACUGUGCGCAAAAGAGACUAUACUCAUCGGGAUGAUAUGCAGCUUUGAUUCCUAUCUGCCUCAGUGUAUAUGUUGUCUCUUGUUUAAAGCUUCAGUGGUAAGUUCCUUGAGGCAGGUGCCAUUUUCCUGCACUGUACAUUUUGAUUAAGCCUUCUAUAUUUUUUUUCCUCUCUCAAAAGUGUAUCCAAGAGUGCAAUCAGUGCUAAUUUUCUGAUAGCUUUUUUUUGUUGUUUUCCUGCACCAAAGGGUCCAUUCUUGCCACGUUUAAUUUCUGCUGCAUUGGGAAUACUGAUCUAAUACCACAAAUUUUUGUGAAGUUUUCCUAUGGUUAUGAAAGGCUACUUCCAUCAGCAAAGGAGGCAGUACUUUUGGUUGCUGCAAAACUGGCCUGGAAGUCCACCUUUCACUUCAAAGAACACAGCCCGGCUGGAUUUACAGAGCCAAGAACCAAGGAAAACAGGACAACAUCUCCUGUCUGUGCCAUGAAAACGGAGGAACUUAGCCAUAGGAUCCAGGUGCAAAACCCCU